GAUGAACGCUAGCGGCAGGCCUAACACAUGCAAGUCGAGGGAGAGGUUACCUUCGGGUAAUCAAAACCGGCGCACGGGUGCGUAACGCGUAUACAAUCUGCCUUUCACAUAGGGAUAGCCCGAAGAAAUUUGGAUUAAUACCUAAUGGUAUAUAAGAGCGGCAUCGUUUUUAUAUUAAAGCUACGGUGGUGAAAGAUGAGUAUGCGUUCUAUUAGCUAGUUGGAGAGGUAACGGCUCCCCAAGGCGACGAUAGAUAGGGGUUCUGAGAGGGAUGUCCCCCACACUGGUACUGAGAUACGGACCAGACUCCUACGGGAGGCAGCAGUGAGGAAUAUUGGACAAUGGUCGGAAGACUGAUCCAGCCAUGCCGCGUGCAGGAUGAAGGUCCUAUGGAUUGUAAACUGCUUUUGUAAGGGAAGAAUAAGGGGUACGUGUACUUUGAUGACGGUACCUUACGAAUAAGCAUCGGCUAACUCCGUGCCAGCAGCCGCGGUAAUACGGAGGAUGCGAGCGUUAUCCGGAAUCAUUGGGUUUAAAGGGUCCGUAGGCGGGCUGAUAAGUCAGAGGUGAAAGCGCUUAGCUCAACUAAGCAACUGCCUUUGAAACUGUCAGUCUUGAAUGAUUGUGAAGUAGUUGGAAUGUGUAGUGUAGCGGUGAAAUGCUUGGAUAUUACACAGAACACCGAUAGCGAAGGCAUAUUACUAACAAUUUAUUGACGCUGAUGGACGAAAGCGUGGGGAGCGAACAGG
rnacentral:rRNA from 1 species